AACGCACCUUGCACCUUCUGGUAUUCCGGAAGGUACACCUGUUUGAGUGUCAUUAAAUUCUCAAUUAUGCAGAUGGAUUAUCAUUUUGUGUAACUUGGAUAUGAGGUUUGCAGGCCCGUGUAUGUAUAUAUGUGGGGUUUGCUUCCUUGAAAUACAUUAGCUGGAGAUCACUUUACAAGUUUCUGUUAGCGCUUGAAUGCCUCCUGGUGUUGGUAAACAUCUGCGCCGUUGGCAAAGUUGACUGCCUUGAGAAUUGUUCUCUGCUUCUAAUUGUCUUCUGAAGACUAGUUUAUCAAACUAUUUCUUACGUUGUGACCUCAAAUCAGGUGGGACUACCCGCUGAACUUAA
rnacentral:misc_RNA from 1 species